GCGGGCAUCGUACAGUGGUAGUACAGUUGCUUCCCAAGCAACAGACGGGAGUUCGAUUCUCCUUGCCCGCUCCA
rnacentral:tRNA from 1 species